CUAUUACCACGUUAUGUGCGUUGUAUAUAUUGGUAAUAUGGUCCAAUGUUUCUACGCUUAACCGUUAAUUAAGCACUACAGAAUAAAAAAGAAGAAGU
rnacentral:ncRNA from 2 species